rnacentral:rRNA from 1 species
AGAGUUUGAUCCUGGCUCAGGAUUAACGCUGGCGGUGCACAUAAGACAUGCAAGUCGAACGGGAAUCGUUAUUAAUGGAAAUAAGAUUUAUCUGAAAUAAGUUAAUAACAAUGAUUUUAGUGGCGGACUGGUGAGUAACACGUAAGCAACCUGCCUAUUAGAGGGGAAUAACAGUGAGAAAUCACUGCUAAUACCGCAUAAGCUGACAAUAUCGCAUGAUAUAGUCAGAAAAGGAGAAAUCCGCUAAUAGAUGGGCUUGCGUCCGAUUAGCUAGUUGGUGGGGUAAAGGCCUACCAAGGCAACGAUCGGUAGCCGAGCUGAGAGGCUCAACGGCCACAUUGGGACUGAGAUACGGCCCAGACUCCUACGGGAGGCAGCAGUCGGGAAUAUUGCACAAUGGAGGAAACUCUGAUGCAGUGACACCGCGUAUAGGAAGAAGGUUUUCGGAUUGUAAACUAUUUUAGACAGGGAAGAAAAAAGACAGUACCUGUAGAAUAAGCUCCGGCUAACUACGUGCCAGCAGCCGCGGUAAUACGUAGGGAGCAAGCGUUAUCCGGAAUUAUUGGGUGUAAAGGGUGCGUAGACGGGACAGCAAGUUAGUUGUGAAAGCCCUCGGCUUAACUGAGGAACUGCAACUAAAACUAUUGUUCUUGAGUGCAGGAGAGGAAAGCGGAAUUCCUAGUGUAGCGGUGAAAUGCGUAGAUAUUAGGAGGAACACCAGUGGCGAAGGCGGCUUUCUGGACUGUAACUGACGUUGAGGCACGAAAGUGUGGGGAGCAAACAGGAUUAGAUACCCUGGUAGUCCACACUGUAAACGAUGGAUACUAGGUGUAGGAAAUGAUUUCAUUAUCUGUGCCGAAAGCAAACGCAAUAAGUAUCCCACCUGGGGAGUACGGCCGCAAGGUUGAAAUUCAAAGGAAUUGACGGGGGCCCGCACAAGCAGUGGAGUAUGUGGUUUAAUUCGAAGCAACGCGAAGAACCUUACCAGGGCUUGACAUAUACAGGAAUAUUUAUGAAAGUAGAUAGCUCUUCGGAGUCUGUAUACAGGUGGUGCAUGGUUGUCGUCAGCUCGUGUCGUGAGAUGUUGGGUUAAGUCCCGCAACGAGCGCAACCCCUAUGAUUAGUUGCCAGCACGUAAAGGUGGGAACUCUAAUCAGACUGCCGGUGAUAAAUCGGAGGAAGGUGGGGACGACGUCAAAUCAUCAUGCCCUUUAUGUCCUGGGCAACACACGUACUACAAUGGUCGUAACAGAGAGAGACGAAACAGUGAUGUGGAGUAAAACUUAGAAAAGCGACCUCAGUUCGGAUUGAAGGCUGAAAUUCGCCUUCAUGAAGUCGGAAUUGCUAGUAAUGGCAGGUCAGCAUACUGCCGUGAAUACGUUCCCGGGCCUUGUACACACCGCCCGUCACACCAUGAGAGUUGGAGAUACCCGAAGCCUAUGAGCUAACUUUUAGAGGCAGUAGUCGAAGGUAGAAUCAAUGAUUGGGGUGAAGUCGUAACAAGGUAACC